rnacentral:rRNA from 1 species
UACAGAGGUCCCAAGCGUUGUUCGGAUUCACUGGGCGUAAAGGGUGCGUAGGCGGUUGGGUAAGUCUGUCGUGAAAUCUCCGAGCCUAACUCGGAAACUGCGUCGGAUACUAUUCAACUCGAGGAAUGGAGGGGAGACUGGAAUUCUCGGUGUAGCAGUGAAAUGCGUAGAUAUCGAGAGGAACACCAGUGGCGAAGGCGGGUCUCUGGGCCGAUACUGACGCUGAGGAGCGAAAGCGUGGGGAGCGAACAGG